rnacentral:lncRNA from 1 species
AUCCCUGAGGGAACUGGUGGACAAAGGCAGUGGUGAUCAGGUAACCCUUUUCCCAAGCACAUGUCUUGGGGAGGUGGAGGAGAGCCAGGGAGUGACAUUAGUACACGCAUGGUGUACUUCUUAUUUGCUUCACCUUUUGUCAAUGUCUGAGGUCCAUUGCAUGCCGCUCUAUGCAGUUCUACUCUGUUAGCGAUGAUUGAGACUAUGUCAUGAAGUAUAUCUUGAGUGACAUGGAGUGGCCCAACAUUAGCAGCUCUCUUGGCAUUUGAGUGUUUAUUGCAUAGAUUAGGUUCUACAUGAGGAACCAUCUCCAUGGUUGGAGAUGGGUGACAGUAUUAAUUUGUCAUUGCCCAGUAGUCUAAAGAACAAUAUCAAGGAUGGCGGGGUUGAAGAGGACAUCUCUAUUUUGCAUCUGGUGGCUGCUUCUGCCUGUGCCCUGGCCCCUGGUCUUGGAUGUGGAGAUACAUCGUGUCCUGGUUUGCAGUGUUCACACCUCGCAUGAGAUUUGCACGAAGUUAGACGACUCCUUCUUAGUCUCCUGUCCCCUGCCUCCUUGGCAAAGAUGAGGGGAGACUUAGCUCAUGUUGGUGCCCAUCCUUGUAUACUUAGGCUACAUGCCAAACAACUAAGACUGUCCCUGUCUGUCCCCUUUCUAAUAGCAUGGCAGCCUUGACAGGAACGGAGACAGAUCAUGGAACUUGGCUGAGUUUGCCUAGCAGCUGCCCCAGACAGACCUCAAAGCAUGUGAACAGCAAAACCGGAGGCAAUGACAGCUAGAGAUCUGAGUUCAAGACCAUGAGUGGAUACUCAGUAGAUGUGAGACCCCAGACUGCCUCCUCAUCACUUAAAAUAGGA